AUGGUGAAACCCCAUCUCUACUAAAAAUACAAAAAAUUAGCCGGAUAUGGUGGCACACACCUGUAAUCCCAGCUACUCGGGAGGCUGAGACAGGAGGAUCACUGGAACCUGGGAGGCGGAGGUUGCAGUGGGCUGAGCUCUCACCACUGCACUCCAGCCUGGGAGACAGAGGGAGACUCCAUCUCAAAAAAAAAAAAGUCCAAUCUGACAAUCUGUGCCUUUUGAUUAGAGUGUUAAUACUAACUACAUUUUAUGUGAUUAUUAAUACAGUUGGGCUUAAAUCUAUUAUCCUGUUAAUUGUUUCCUGUUUGUUCCAUCUUUUCUUAAUUCCCUUUUUCCUUUUUUGUGUCUUCUUAUUGGUUAAUCAUUUCUAUGAUUCUACUUUAUCUUCUUUAUUAGCAUAUUAGCAAUACCUCCUUGUUUCAUUUUUUUCAUUUGUUGCUUUAGAGUUUAUACUACACACCUUUAAUUUAUAUAGUCUACUUUCAAGUAAUAUUUUACCACUUCGUGUAAAAUAUAAGCCCCUUACAACAGUAUAUUUCUAUUUCUGCUCUCCCAGAUUUUAUGCUAUUGUUGCCCUACAUUUUGUUUCUAUAUAUGUUGUAAACCUCACAAUGUAUUACUAUUAUUUUUGCUUUAAACAAUAAAUUAUCCCUUUUAGAUAUUUCAAUUUAACUUUUUUUAUAUUUAUCUACAUAUUUACCAUUUCCAGAAAUUUCUUUUAUUUUUUGGUAUAAAUCCAAAUGUCCAUUUGGCAUCAUUUUCCUUUUGUGCAAAAAAACCUUCCUUUAACGCUUCUUAAAAUUCUGCUGUUGAUUUUCUCUCAUUGCUUUUGGACAUUCUCUUUAACACUAGUUCUUAAAAUUCAAUUAUGAUGUGUCUUGAUAUAGUUUUCUUCAUGUUUUUUUUUCCUGCUUGGGGGUUCAUUGAGCUUCUUAGAUCUGCAGGUUUAUCGUUUUGUCACAUUCAGAAAAGUUUUAAUCAUUCUUUCUUUAAAUAUUUUUUCUGCUCCCUCUUCUGGACUCUGAUGGCACGUAUAUUAGGCAAUCUGAUGUUGUUCCUCAGCUUACUGACGCUUUGUUGGUUUCUUUUUUCCAGACUUCUUCUCGGCGCUGCAUUUUGAAUUGUUUCUACUAGUGUAUCUUGAAGUUUACUAAGCUUUUCUUCUGGAGUGUCUAAGAUGCUGUUCAUCUCGGCCAGUAUUUUUUCAUCUGUAGAAUUUAAUUCAGUCUUUUUUUAUGUUCUCCAUAUCUCUCCUUAACAUGCUCAUACAUUCUUCUACCUUUGUGAACACAUGGAGUAUAUUAUCACUUUUUAAUAUUCUGCUCCGCAUAAUUCUAGCAUCUGUAUCAUUUCUGUUUCAGUCAAUUUAUUUUUCUUCUUAUUCUGGGUCAUAUUUUCUUUUUGUUUUGUUUUGUUUUGUUUUCAGAAAGAGUCUCGCUCUGUCGCCCAGGUUGGAGUGCAGUGGCACGAUCUCGGCUCACUGAAACCUCCGUCUCCCGGGUUCAAGCGAUUCUCCUACCUCAGCGUUCCGAGUAGCUGGGACUACAGGUGCGCACCGCCACGCCCGGCUAAUUUUUGUAUUUUUUUGUAGAGACGGGGUUUUGCCAUGUUGCCCAGGCUUGUCUCGAAUUCCUGAGCUCAAGCAGUUCGCCCGCUUUGGCCCCUCAAAGUGUUGGGACUACAGGUGUAAGCCACUGUGCCCGGCCCUGGGUCGUAUUUUCCUGCCUCUUUGUAUGCCUGUUAAGGUUUGAUUGGAUGCCAGAUGUGGCUGGAAAGGUCACUCAUGAUUAGUUACUUCUACUAAUUCUCUGACUUCAUCUUCUAAUCUCCACCCCUCCCAGGUCUCUGAUUUUGCCACCCUGAACUUCUUGCACACUUCCUCGUUCAUUUGCACAUGCUGUCCCCUUUCUCUGGGGCACUCUUCCCUAGGCGGUCCCCAUGGGUUUCUCCCUAACUUCAUUUGGGUCUGUGUUCAAAUGUCACAUUACCAAAAACAUUCUAUCACCUUUCCUUGCUUUAUUUGCCUUUAAACAUUUAUAACCACUUGCCAGCCAUGUUACUUACUGAUUGUCUAUUUUUACCUCACCGCCCACCUCUGCUAAAAUGUACCAUGACAGCAUCACCGAGAACUACUGCCAUCAGCUAUAUAAUGAAACUAUUUUUAAGCAACAACAACAGCAGCAGAGAAGAGGGACCAACAGGGUCCAAUGCAUCAGAGGGGUCCAAACUGGUUAAUCCAUGUUGUGCCAAACGACAGGACCUUCUUUUUAAAGGCUGAAUAAUAUUCCAUUGUAUACAGAUGCCACAGUUUUUUAAAUCCAUUCCUCCAUCGACACUUGGGUGGUUCCAUAUCUUGACUAUUGUGAAGAAUGCUGCGUGAAAAUAGAAGUGCAGGUAUUUUAAAAAGGUGGUUAUUUCAUUUUGGGGGGAUAUAGUCACAGAACAGAGAUUGCUGGGUCUUCUGGUAGUUCUGUUUUUAAUUUCUUUAGAAACCUCCAUACUGUUUUCCAUGAUGGCUGCACCAAAUCUACAUUCCCACCAACAGUGUACAAGUGUUCCCUUUUCCCCACACCCCUAUGACUUUUUGAUAAUAGCCAUCCUAUAGGGUCUAAAAUAAUAUCUCAUAGUGGUUUUGAUUCACAUUUUCCUGAUGAUUAAUGAUGUCAAGGACCUUUUCAUAUAUCUGUUGGCCAUUUUUAUGUCUUCUUCGGAGAAAUGUCUAUUCAGGUCCUUUGCCCAUUUUAAAAUUAGUUUAUUUGUUUUUCUAUAAUUGAUUUGUAUGUGUACUUUAUAAAUGUUGGAUAUUAACCCCUUAUCGGAUAUAUGGUUUGCAAAAAUUUUUUCCCAGUCCAUAAGUUGCUAUUUUGUUUUGUUGAUUGUUUCCUUUGUUGUGCAGAAUCUUUUUAAUUUGAUGUAGCCCCAUUUAUUUAUUUUUGCUUUUGUAGCCUGAGCUUUUGCUGCGAUCUCCAAAAAAUCAUUGCCAGUUGGAUGUGGUGGCUCACACUUAUAAUCCCAGCACUUUGGGAUGUGAGGUGGGAGGAUCACUUGAGUCCAGAGGUUCGAGACCAGCCUGGGCAACAUAAGGAGAUGCUGUCUCUACCAAAAAGGAAAAAGAAAAUGAAAAAAAUCAUUGCCAAGGCAACUGUCCAGGAACUUUUCCUCCAUGUUUUCUUCUAGGAGUUUUAUAGUUUCAGAUCUUGCAUUUAGGUUUUUUUAAAAAAAUCUAUUUUGAGUUGAUUUUUGUGUAUGGUGUCAGAUAAGGGUCUAGUGUCAUUCUUUUGCAUGUGGAAAUCCAGUUUUCCUGGCAUCAUUUAUUGAGAAGACCAUCCUUGCCCCAUUUUGUCCUCUUGGAGCCCUUGACAAAAAUGAGUUGACCAUAUAUGUUUGAAAUUAUUUCUAGGCUGUCUCUUCUGUUCCGUUGGCCUAUAUGUCUUUUUUUCUGUCAGUACCAUACUGUUUUGUUUACUAUGGUUUUGAAAUAUAUAGUAAUUUUUCACUAUAUUUUUAAAUUUUUAACUUUUACUAUAUUUUAAAGUAAUUGUUAAAUCAAGAAAUGUAACGCUUCAGAAUGCCUUCAGGAUGGCUAAUCAUUAACAGUUUUCUUUCAGAAACUGUAAGAAUUUAACACAAAAAGUAGUUUGGAAGCACACAUUAAGGAGUUACCGGAAGAAGUUUCUUUUCCUAAAUGUGCCUAUAGGACCAGAUACAAAUCCAGCCCUGAAUAAUAAAUGGAAGAUUUCUAUUUGUAUUUCUUUCUUAGAAUUGUUUUGGCUAUUUGGGGUCUUUUGUGGUUCUGUAUGAAUUGUAGGAAUUUUUUUUUUCUAUUUCCAUGAAGAAUGUCAUUGGGAUUUUGAUAAGAAUUGUGUCAAGUCUGUAUAUUGCUUUGGAUAAUAGGGACAUUUUAACAAUAUUAAUUCUUCUGAUCCAUGAGCACAGAAUAUCUUUCCAUUUGUUUAUAUCUUUUUUAGUUUUUUUAUUGAUGCUUUAUACUUUUCAAUGUACAGAUCUUUCAUCUCCUUGAUUAUUUCUCCCAAGUAUUUUAUUUUAUUUUAUUUUAUUUUAUUUUAUUUUUGAUGAUAUCACAAAUAAGAUUGUGUUUGUUAUUUCUUUUUCAGCUAGGUCAUUAUUUGUGUAUAAAAAUGCUACUAAUUGGGGCCAGGCGUGGUGGCUCAUGCCUGUAAUCCCAGCACUUUGGGAUGCCGAGGUGGGUGGAUCACCUGAGGUCAGGAGUUCAAGACCGGCCUGGCCAACAUGCUGAAACACCAUCUCUACCAAAAAAUACAAAAAUUAGCCAGGCGUGGUGGUGCAUGCCUGUAAUCUCAGCUAUUUGGGAGGCUGAGACAAGAGAAUUGCAUGAACCCGAGAAGCGGAGGUUCCAGUGAGCUGAGAUUGCACCACUGCACUCCAGCCUGGACGACAGAGUAAGACUCUGUCUCAAAAAACAAACAAACAAACAAAAAAGCUAUUGAUUUUUAAAAAAUGUUCGAAACACAUUUAUUUUCUAAAUCACCUGAAGUUGACUUAUAUAAGAUAAUUUCAACAAAUAAAAUGUUCAAUGAAAAA
rnacentral:lncRNA from 10 species